rnacentral:tRNA from 1 species
AGGCUCCUUAGCACAGGUGGCAGUGCGCUGUCCUAGUAAGACAGAGGUCACGAGUUCGAGUCUCGUAGGAGCCUA